rnacentral:rRNA from 1 species
CUACGGGUCGCAGCAGUGGGGAAUAUUGCACAAUGGAGGAAACUCUGAUGCAGCAACGCCGCGUGGAGGAUGACACUUUUCGGAGCGUAAACUCCUUUUAUAUAGGAAGAAGAUGACGGUACUAUAUGAAUAAGCGCCGGCUAACUCCGUGCCAGCAGCCGCGGUAAUACGGAGGGCGCAAGCGUUACUCGGAAUCACUGGGCGUAAAGGGCGUGUAGGCGGAUUAAAAAGUCAGAAGUGAAAUCCUAUAGCUUAACUAUAGAACUGCUUCUGAAACUCUUAAUCUAGAAUAUGGGAGAGGUAGAUGGAAUUUCUGGUGUAGGGGUAACAUCCGUAGAGAUCAGAAGGAAUACCGAUUGCGAAGGCGAUCUACUAGAACAUUAUUGACGCUGAGACGCGAAAGCGUGGGGAGCAAACAGGAUUAGAUACCCGAGUAGUC